AGAUUGAACGCUGGCGGCAGGCCUAACACAUGCAAGUCGAGCGGUAGAGAGGUGCUUGCACCUCUUGAGAGCGGCGGACGGGUGAGUAAUGCCUAGGAAUCUGCCUAGUGGUGGGGGAUAACGUUCGGAAACGGACGCUAAUACCGCAUACGUCCUACGGGAGAAAGCGGGGGACCUUCGGGCCUCGCGCCAUUAGAUGAGCCUAGGUCGGAUUAGCUUAGUUGGUGAGGUAAUGGCUCACCAAGGCGACGAUCCGUAACUGGUCUGAGAGGAUGAUCAGUCACACUGGAACUGAGACACGGUCCAGACCUCCGUACGGGGAGCAGCAGG
rnacentral:rRNA from 1 species